CCUACGGGUGGCAGCAGUGGUGAAUAUUGGGCAAUGGGCGCAAGCCUGACCCAGCAAUGCCGCGUGAAGGAAGAAGGCUUUCGGGUUGUAACCUUCUUUUAUCAGGGACGAAGCAAGUGACGGUACCUGAUGAAUAAGCCACGGCUAACUACGUGCCAGCAGCCGCGGUAAUACGUAGGUGGCAAGCGUUAUCCGGAUUUAAGGGGUGUAAAGGGCGUGUAGGCGGGAGUGCAAGUCAGAUGGGAAAACUAUGGGCUCAACCCAUAGCCUGCAUUGGAAACUGUACGUCUUGAGUGCAGGUGAGGGAAUCGGAAUUCCGUGUGUAGCGGUGAAAUGCGUAGAUAUACGGAGGAACACCAGUUGCGAAGGCGGAUUGCUAGACAGUAACUGACGCUGAGGCGCGAAAGCGUGGGGAGCAAACAGGAUUAGAUACCCUAGUAGUC
rnacentral:rRNA from 1 species